GGAGCCAGCAUCUUAACGAAGUUACCUGAGGGUUAGCUCACUUAAAAACAAGAGUGGACAUGUUGGAGGAAGAUAGGAGACAGAGAGACGAGGACAGAGGCUCCAGCAGCAGCAGAGACAGACAGUAUGAACCGAGGAGGGCGGGACACUUGAGGAGACAUGAUCCGGAGAAAACACACUGACACCUGAGCGGCUAGCAGGCGGCUAGCUAGCAUCGCUCAGGUGCAGCAGCUAAUUAGCGCGACUCCUCCAGGAGCAGCGGAGCUCCGGACCACCGUUUACCCGCCUCUGGGUGACUCCGUGCGGGCUAAACUAGACCCACUUUCCCCUUACAGAGCAACUCAGUGCACUCUCACAAGAGACGUGCAUCCAUUAGUGAGUGCGUGCUGUGAUGUGCAUCUGCAGGGAAGACGCUGGACUUUUAUUUCAAGGUGUCUGACUUCGUGAAGCUGGAAGGCCCAGUCUGCACAGCUGGCUCUCUGAGACGUUUACCUGCGAGUGCACAUGGCGGCUGGAGCCACGUUGGCCGCCUGCAGCUGUUUAAAUGCAGCAGAGAAAAGGUGGGAGUUUUUGGAAUGGACGGUGGAUUAGGUUUUCUUAACUCUGCAUCCAGGCUGUCUGAUAAAUAAAUAGCCAUCUUUGUGCAAGAAAAACAAACAACAGGAAGAUAAA